GAGACUCCGUCUCCACAGCAACGACAGAAAACCAACCAGCCUGUCUGUCUCCCUUAUGGUUCUUGAAAAAAAGGGGAACUUCAACGAAAUACAAGGUUGAUCUGUCUGGAAACAGGGGAAAAGCAUCAAGAAAGGAAAAUAGGCAUAAUAUUCAGAUAGACAGUAUCCUGAAUUCAGCAAAAGAGGUCACUUUUGUCUCAACAAACUGGAAGGAGUAUGAAAAUGGAUUGCAUCAGACUUUUCCUGAAGAAACUGUCUACAGAUUCAAAGGUUAAUCUCAUUCAGAAACAGCUUCACAGACAUACCCAGAAUAAUGUUUUAGCCAAAUAUCUGGAUACUCCAUGGUCCAAUGAGGUUGACACAUAAAAUUAACCAUCACAUCUUCCUUGUUCUUUCCCAUUUUCUUACACCUGGUGCUCCAGUGCCUCUUGAGCUACCUCAUGUCUUUCCAAUAAAUGUAAUUUUGGUUUAACAUCA